AUGACUGAUAAUAGCAUUUGUCAGAUAUGUGUGGCAGAUAUUUACUCCUUGUUCCUUAGUUUGCCUAUUUAUUUUUUAACAGUCUUUUGAAGAACAGGUUUUAAUUUUAAUCCUGUUCUUUUAUGGUUAAUGCUUUCUGGAUCCUUUAUAAAAGUCUUUGCUGGCACUAAGCUCAAAAAGAUUUUUCUCCUUUUUCUUUUAGAAGCUUUAUAGUUUUAGCUUCUACAUGUAUGUGUGAUCCAUUUUUUUUUGGUCUGAUCCAUUUUUAAUUAACUUUUGAGUGUGUUAAUAUGGUAGGCAAAGCAAGUACCAUCAACAGGGAAUGAGAAUAUCAUUCUGGAGAGGGAUCCUCUCCAGAUCCAAGGAUCCACAUCCAAGGAAGGCAGCAGACAUGCAGAUUUCCCACUCCAGAUCUGAAGAGGACUCUUUCAAGCGCCUAUGAUUGGAAUGAAUACACUUAAAAUCUUUUAAUGGCAAUUUUGCGGGGGGAGGGGAAGGCCAGAGUGCUGCCAGCAGCUGCUAAUUCCAGCUCCUUCAGCGCAUAUUAGAAUUGCUACUGUUUAAAAUCUCAUAGUUGGAUCUUAGUUGGGUAGAUCAUCAAACUAUCGCUUGCCAGUCAAUGCCCCCUUGAUGCUCUUAGCUGAGUGUCCUCUGGAGCCUAAAGUAUUUACUUUGGACAAAAUUAAAGCGUUUAAAGCAAAAUCAAGCCACUGCAUACCACAGAUAAAACUAAUAGAAUAGGGCCCCUGGUCUGCCUUAUUGGCUUUUGAAACUGGAAUUGUAAUUUAGAGGGGUGGCCCUGGGUAUUGGUAUUAUGCUACUAGAGGUGAAAUUCUUGGCCUUUGCAAGAUGAACCAGAGUGAAAGCAUUUGCCAAGAAUGUUUUUAUUAGUCAAGAAUUAAGGGUGGAGGAGGCUGGAAAACAGUCAGCUACCAUCAUAGUUCCAACGGUAAAGGAUGCUGACCUGCAAAUGGGGAGGCUUUAUUCCCAAACCCACUGGUCAGCUUCCAGGAAAUGAAGGUCUUUAGGUUCUG
rnacentral:ncRNA from 1 species